AUUGAACGCUGGAGGCAUGCCUUACACAUGCAAGUCGAACGGUAACAGGUCUUCGGAUGCUGACGAGUGGCGAACGGGUGAGUAAUACAUCGGAACGUGCCUAGUAGUGGGGGAUAACUACUCGAAAGAGUGGCUAAUACCGCAUGAGAUCUACGGAUGAAAGCAGGGGAUCGCAAGACCUUGUGCUACUAGAGCGGCCGAUGGCAGAUUAGGUAGUUGGUGGGAUAAAAGCUUACCAAGCCGACGAUCUGUAGCUGGUCUGAGAGGACGAUUAGCCACACUGGGACUGAGACACGGCCCAGACUCCUACGGGAGGCAGCAGAGGGGAAUUUUGGACAAUGGGCGAAAGCCUGAUCCAGCAAUGCCGCGUGCAGGAUGAAGGCCUUCGGGUUGUAAACUGCUUUUGUACGGAACGAAAAGCUCCGGGUUAAUACCCUGGGGUCAUGACGGUACCGUAAGAAUAAGCACCGGCUAACUACGUGCCAGCCGCCGCCGUAA
rnacentral:rRNA from 1 species